rnacentral:rRNA from 1 species
GACGAACGCUGGCGGCGUGCCUAAUACAUGCAAGUAGAACGCUGAAGGAGGAGCUUGCUCUUCUGGAUGAGUUGCGAACGGGUGAGUAACGCGUAGGUAACCUGCCUGGUAGCGGGGGAUAACUAUUGGAAACGAUAGCUAAUACCGCAUAACAGUAGAUGUUGCAUGACAUUUACUUAAAAGGUGCAAUUGCAUCACUACCAGAUGGACCUGCGUUGUAUUAGCUAGUUGGUGGGGUAACGGCUCACCAAGGCGACGAUACAUAGCCGACCUGAGAGGGUGAUCGGCCACACUGGGACUGAGACACGGCCCAGACUCCUACGGGAGGCAGCAGUAGGGAAUCUUCGGCAAUGGACGGAAGUCUGGCCGGGCAACGCCGCGUGAGUGAAGAAGGGUUUCGGAUCGUAAAGCUCUGUUGUAAGAGAAGAACGAGUGUGAGAGUGGAAAGUUCACACUGUGACGGUAUCUUACCAGAAAGGGACGGCUAACUACGUG